AUCUGAGCCUGGAGGCACUGGGGCAGCAAGUGCAAAGGCCCUGUGGCAGGAAUGGCCUGGACAGUUUCAAGGAUGCCAGAGAUGCUCCCAAACCGAGCAAGGCUGGAGAAGGGCCCCAGGAGCGUCUCAGGGCCCACACUUGCUUGACCCAGAACUGAUGACCAAGAGAAGCCGUGGUGAAAGAACGACGGAUGAUGGGGUGAAUUGUGAAAUAAAACUUGCUCACCUCAUCCAGAGCAGCCUUCUUCUUCUGAAAUAAAGAGAUAAACUAUGA